UUUUUUUCCGAAUAGAACUUGAUUCUCGGGGACUGACCACUCUGUCCUGAGUUUAGUCCGUGAUUUUACACUGCACCGAGUGGUCACCAUCAUCCGCUACAACAAACAAUAUUUUUGACGAAUUAAGAUGGAGUGGAGGUGACUGUUGAGACAUUGUCAUUCUGGGAUGGACGUUACGAAUGGAGACAUUCAUGGAAGGGCUUCGGGGGAUGCCUUUCUCAAUUGUAGGGAGGUGCAGUAAAAUUUGAAGGGACCAUGGCGCGCCUGCUGGUGUUUUAUCGGAUACGUUAACAGCUUCGUAAAUCAGGCUCGAAGACACUAUUCCGGGAUUUAAAGCAUUUGGAGAAAGACGCCGAUGGAGAAUUGCCUGGCUAGUGGUAUGCUGAAGAGUGGUAGUGGAGAUAAGGUACCCGGGGAAACUGGAGACAUUGAGGGAGAGAAAAAUAUUUGGAAAAGUGGGUGAAAUUUUUUCAGAAAUGUUCGAGAAAAUCAUCGCACGGAGAGUAAUUUUUUGGAAAUAUUACGGACCAUCAUUUGUCAGCCAAAAUAAUAUUCAUUUAAAAUUAUGGAACAAUUACGAUUUUUUUCCCUUAACGUCCCAUACAGGGGAUGAUAUUUUACGUUAAAAUUAGACCUUCAGGGGGAGGGGGAUGAAAUGACUGACCAAGAUUAAUUUUUUCACAAAAAUUAGUUUCCAAGUCAUUGAUUAUCAUUUUAUCCCACGUUUCCCCCUCCAGAGGUUUUAUUUUUAUCCAAAAUUUCUUUCUGUCUACUGUUUCUCGAACGUUCUAAAGUUUUUUCUGAAAGUUUCCUGAAAAAGUGCGUAACUGUUCCGUAAUUUAAAAAAAAUUCUCUCAGUACGGAAUAUCUACCUUCAGAAACGUUUUUUGAAGAAUAUUUGUUAAAUUAAAUUGAGAAUAUGGAACAUGAACGGAAAUGAUUGUUCUUCGUACGAUUAGUUUCUAGCUGAUCAAACAUAUGACACAGCACAUCUCAAUUAUUCAACCGGAGCUGGUGUAUCCAAGAAGACAUCGGCUUUUCCUGAUUCACGGACUCUGAGUGGAUGCACUCAUGACUGGCAAAUGUAGAGGGACUGAGGUGGGAAAGGCUACGGAGAAUAUAAUCUACCCUGUUUGAGGAGAACUGCCACUGACUGCAAGUUAGAACCAACUCUCUGUGUACUUUGGAAACGGCGGAUCCCCAGAUGCCCCCCUCAUUGUCACCCCUCACUUUCGCCAUUCCAUAUGAAUAUCUCUAAAUAAAAAAAUAUUUUUUUCA